GACGAACGCUGGCGGCGUGCUUAACACAUGCAAGUCGAACGAUGAAGCUGGAGCUUGCUCCGGUGGAUUAGUGGCGAACGGGUGAGUAACACGUGAGAAAUCUGCCCUUCACUCUGGGAUAACUGCGGGAAACUGUAGCUAAUACCGGAUACUUUCCCUGGUGGGCAUCCACUAGGGAAGAAAGAAUUUCGGUGAAGGAUGAUCUCGCGGCCUAUCAGCUAGUUGGUGAGGUAAUGGCUCACCAAGGCGACGACGGGUAGCCGGCCUGAGAGGGUGACCGGCCACACUGGGACUGAGACACGGCCCAGACUCCUACGGGAGGCAGCAGUGGGGAAUAUUGCACAAUGGGCGAAAGCCUGAUGCAGCAACGCCGCGUGAGGGAUGAAGGCCUUCGGGUUGUAAACCUCUUUUAGCAGGGAAGAAGCGAAAGUGACGGUACCUGCAGAAAAAGCACCGGCUAACUACGUGCCAGCCGCCGCCGUAA
rnacentral:rRNA from 1 species